rnacentral:rRNA from 1 species
GACGAACGCUGGCGGCGUGCUUAACACAUGCAAGUCGAGCGAGAAACUUCGGUUUCUAGCGGCGGACGGGUGAGUAACACGUGGGCAACCUGCCUCACAAUGGGGGAUAGCCUUCCGAAAGGAAGAUUAAUACCGCAUAACACAAAGGAAACGCAUGUUUCUUUUGCCAAAGAAUUUCGUUGUGAGAUGGGCCCGCGGCGCAUUAGCUUGUUGGUGAGGUAACGGCUCACCAAGGCGACGAUGCGUAGCCGACCUGAGAGGGUGAUCGGCCAAAUUGGAACUGAGACACGGUCCAGACUCCUACGGGAGGCAGCAGUGGGGAAUAUUGCACAAUGGAGGAAACUCUGAUGCAGCAACGCCGCGUGAGUGAUGAAGGUCUUCGGAUUGUAAAACUCUGUCUUCUGGGACGAUAAUGACGGUACCAGAGGAGGAAGCCACGGCUAACUACGUGCCAGCCGCCGCUGUAA